AGAGUUUGAUUCUGGCUCAGGAUUAACGCUGGCGGCAUGCCUAAUACAUGCAAGUCGAAUGGUUAGCUUGCUAACCAUGGCGAACGGGUGAGUAACACGUAGGUAACCCGUCUUCAAGACGAGGAUAACCAUUGGAAACGAUGGAUAAUACUGGAUAGGACAAAUCCCCGCAUGAGGAGAUGUUUAAAGGAGCAAUCCACUUGAUGAGGGGCCUGCGGUGCAUUAGUUAGUUGGUGAGGUAACGGCCCACCAAGACGAUGAUGCAUAGCCGGACUGAGAGGUUGAACGGCCACAAUGGAACUGAGAACGGUCCAUACUCCUACGGGAGGCAGCAGUAGGGAAUUUUCGGCAAUGGGCGGAAGCCUGAACCCGAGCAAUGCCGCGUGAAUGAAGAAGUUAUUUCGGUAUGUAAAGUUCUUUUAUUUGGGAAGAAAAAACAAAUUGACGGUACCAAAUGAAUAAGCUCCGGCUAACUACGUGCCAGCAGCGGC
rnacentral:rRNA from 1 species